AGUGAAUCGUUCGAAAGUAAAGUGGAAAUCUUGCGGCAACCCACAAUCCAAUGUCACAUGGCUGGAAUGUCGCGUUUUCUAACAUCACAUCCGGAUUUCAAGCAAUUACAGCCUAUCAAUCGAUACUAUAAGGUCCGCAAACUCAUUCACGAGAUCGAGUGGCAAAAAACUAGAGCAAUGAACCAAAAGUCACGUAAGAUUCCCAUCAACUCCCAAAGCACGUAUUGGCGUCUAAACUACCGCUCAUUGUCAAUAUUGGAGUACUGUUCCGAGCCACUGGUAAAAUCAAUAAAAGCAUUAUCGGUUAUUAAACGUAUGAUUGCUAAGAA